GGAGGUCAUUUUUUUCCUGGAUGAAGAUAAUGUCUUGUCUUGUCUUUCCAUUGGGAAUCUCUGAAGCAGCUGUUGUUCCAAGUACAACCAGGCUGUAUAGCUGUAGAAUCUGUUACACCUGUAGAUGUCCAUACCUAUCAAAGAUUGGUCUUUAUAUAUUCAUCAGAGGAUACACAGUAGACGAUCUCACCAUCCUCGACAUCGAGGCGUCAUCCAUCAGAAAAUUAAGAAGCAGUAGUUCCAAGUACAACCACGCUGUAGCUUAGGAGAUCUGCUGUACAGUUCUGGAGACGUUCCUAACUGUCCCAGAUUUAUCUUUAUAGUAUUCGUUAGAGGGCACAGUCACACGAGACGAUCUCAUCAUCCUCGACAUCGAGGCGUCAUUCAUUAGCGCAAGAAUUGACCUGAUGUUGACAAAGAAUUAUACCUCGUUGAUUACGAUCGUUGGCUGCCUAUAAUGCUUCAGAGCCAACGACUGGAUGGAAGUUGUAAAGGCCCCGGGUUACACAUCACUAUCCAUGCGGCCUUGACAGCGAAUAAUGGAACAGAUUUUCAUCAGGAGGAGAUGGCGGUUCAGGUGGAUAGGAGAAUGUUGCUUGGAAAGCAUUCGCAUGAGUGUUAUUUCGGUGAGGUGAGAUCUGACGACAUUGUUGACCGCCAGAUUUGAUUUUCUUCUUGAGAGGAUCCAGUUUUACCAUGAGAACGAUGUGGAUAAUGAUGGACAUCGAUCGACGAAUCUACCUUUCCGAUACAGGGUUAGAUGGUUUAAAAGUUUGUCACCCGAUGCUGUACGUCUUUAAAUGCACAAGCAAAAUCUUCGCUUUAUGCACACGCGUCUUAGCCAUAGAUCAAUCGUCAAGCAAAAUGCUACCAGGCAGUUAGCAAUUGCUUGAGCUUACUAGCAAAAGCAUUUGUUGCUCAUUGUUAUGUAUACGGAAUCAAAAGCCUAUAGCAAAAGCAAUGGCUACAUUUUCAGUAUAUACCUAUGUAUACACUGCCCGUCAUGAACGCAUGAUCAUUAUAUAUGGCUGGAAAGAAUAUCUUCUCAAAAAUUAUUUGCUAUCACAUCUACGUGCUAUGUCUUCACGUUUGGAUAAUCAAUAGGUAUAUUAUUUGCAUUGAUGUUAAUUUUGAUUUGCACCAAAGUAAGGCAUGACUGCAACGAAUGAAUCCAGAUGCCAGUGAUCGAUGUAAUAAUGAUGAGUCAGGAAACAUACUUGCAAGUCCAUUUUUAAUGAAAUUGACUGGAGCAUUGAUACUAAAAGUGGUUUGUAAGCAAUUAUAAUGUCAAUUAUUGAAAAAAUUUGAAAUGGAUGUUAUUGCAACCCUUGUAGGAUUAUGACAUCAUUGACAUCUGGGAC